rnacentral:rRNA from 1 species
ACGCUGGGCGGCGUGCUUACACAUGCAAGUCGAGCGGUAAGGCCCUUCGGGGUACACGAGCGGCGAACGGGUGAGUAACACGUGGGUGAUCUGCCUCGUACUCUGGGAUAAGCCUGGGAAACUGGGUCUAAUACCGGAUAUGACCACAUGUCGCAUGGUGUGUGGUGGAAAGAUUUAUCGGUGCGAGAUGGGCCCGCGGCCUAUCAGCUUGUUGGUGGGGUAACGGCCUACCAAGGCGACGACGGGUAGCCGACCUGAGAGGGUGAUCGGCCACACUGGGACUGAGACACGGCCCAGACUCCUACGGGAGGCAGCAGUGGGGAAUAUUGCACAAUGGGCGGAAGCCUGAUGCAGCGACGCCGCGUGCGGGAUGACGGCCUUCGGGUUGUAAACCGCUUUCGACAGGGACGAAGCGUGAGUGACGGUACCUGUAGAAGAAGCACCGGCCAACUACGUGCCAGCAGCCGCGGUAAUACGUAGGGUGCGAGCGUUGUCCGGAAUUACUGGGCGUAAAGAGCUUGUAGGCGGUCUGUCGCGUCGAUUGUGAAAUCUUGCAGCUCAACUGCAAGUCUGCAGUCGAUACGGGCAGACUAGAGUACUUCAGGGGAGACUGGAAUUCCUGGUGUAGCGGUGAAAUGCGCAGAUAUCAGAGGAACACCGGUGGCGAAAGCGGGUCUCUGGGAAGUAACUGACGCUGAGAAGCGAAAGCGUGGGUAGCGAACAGGAUUAGAUACCCUGGUAGUCCACGCCGUAACGGUGGGUACUAGGUGGUGGGUUUCCUUCCACGGGAUCCGUGCCGUAGCUACGCAUUAGUACCCCGCCAGGGGAGUACG